rnacentral:rRNA from 1 species
AGCGAACGCUGGCGGCAGGCCUAAAACAUGCAAGUCGAACGGAUCCUUCGGGAUUAGUGGCGGACGGGUGAGUAACACGUGGGAACGUGCCUUUAGGUUCGGAACAACUCAGGGAAACUUGAGCUAAUACCGAAUGUGCCCUUCGGGGGAAAGGAUUUAUCGCCUUUAGAGCGGCCCGCGUCUGAUUAGCUUGUUGGUGAGGUAAAGGCUCACCAAGGCGACGAUCAGUAGCUGGUCUGAGAGGAUGAUCAGCCACACUGGGACUGAGACACGGCCCAGACUCCUACGGGAGGCAGCAGUUAGGAAUCUUGCGCAAUGGGGGAAACCCUGACGCAGCCAUGCCGCGUGAAUGAUGAAGGUCUUAGGAUUGUAAAAUUCUUUCAGCGGGGACGAUAAUGACGGUACCCGCAGAAGAAG